ACCAUCUUUGUCUUGGGGUGAGCUGCUGCUCAAUGAACGUAUAGUGAGAGCAGUACUGCUAAUGCCACAAACAACACAUACGUGCCACUGGUGUGAAUACACUAGAACGGUACAAUUUUUGGAACC
rfam:Xenopus laevis strain J chromosome 9_10L, whole genome shotgun sequence.